UGGAAGUAAAAGUCGUAACAAGGUCUCCGUUGGUGAACCAGCGGAGGGAUCAUUACCGAGUUUACAACUCCCAAACCCAAUGUGAACGUUACCAAACUGUUGCCUCGGCGGGAUCUCUGCCCCGGGUGCGUCGCAGCCCCGGACCAAGGCGCCCGCCGGAGGACCAACCAAAACUCUUAUUGUAUACCCCCUCGCGGGUUUUUUUAUAAUCUGAGCCUUCUCGGCGCCUCUCGUAGGCGUUUCGAAAAUGAAUCAAAACUUUCAACAACGGAUCUCUUGGUUCUGGCAUCGAUGAAGAACGCAGCGAAAUGCGAUAAGUAAUGUGAAUUGCAGAAUUCAGUGAAUCAUCGAAUCUUUGAACGCACAUUGCGCCCGCCAGUAUUCUGGCGGGCAUGCCUGUCCGAGCGUCAUUUCAACCCUCGAACCCCUCCGGGGGGUCGGCGUUGGGGAUCGGCCCUGCCUUGGCGGUGGCCGUCUCCGAAAUACAGUGGCGGUCUCGCCGCAGCCUCUCCUGCGCAGUAGUUUGCACACUCGCAUCGGGAGCGCGGCGCGUCCACAGCCGUUAAACACCCAACUUCUGAAAUGUUGACCUCGGAUCAGGUAGGAAUACCCGCUGAACUUAAGCAUAUCAAUAAGCGGAGG
rnacentral:misc_RNA from 1 species